GACGAAGGGGGCUAGCGUUGUUCGGAUUUACUGGGCGUAAAGCGCACGUAGGCGGAUUGUUAAGUGAGGGGUGAAAUCCUGGAGCUCAACUCCAGAACUGCCUUUCAUACUGGCAAUCUAGAGUCCGGAAGAGGUAAGUGGAACUCCUAGUGUAGAGGUGGAAUUCGUAGAUAUUAGGAAGAACACCAGUGGCGAAGGCGGCUCUCUGGACCGAUACUGACGCUGAGGCGGCGAAAGCGUGGGGAGCAAACAGG
rnacentral:rRNA from 1 species